rnacentral:rRNA from 1 species
CCUACGGGAGGCUGCAGUAGGGAAUAUUGCUCAAUGGGGGAAACCCUGAAGCAGCAACGCCGCGUGGAGGAUGACGGUUUUCGGAUUGUAAACUCCUUUUGUUAGAGAAGAUAAUGACGGUAUCUAACGAAUAAGCACCGGCUAACUCCGUGCCAGCAGCCGCGGUAAUACGGAGGGUGCAAGCGUUACUCGGCAUCACUGGGCGUAACGAGCGCGUAGGCGGGAUAGCAAGUCAGAUGUGAAAUCCUAUGGCUUAACCAUAGAACUGCAUUUGAAACUGUUAUUCUAGAGUAUGGGAGAGGUAGGUGGAAUGCGUGGUGUAGGGGUAAAAUGCGUAGAGAUCAAGAGGAAUACUCAUUGCGAAGGCGGCCUACUAGAACAUAACUGACGCUGAUGCGCGAAAGCGUGGGGAGCGAACAGGAUUAGAUACCCUUGUAGUC